AUGCAAAAGGCUUGCCUCCAGGUUACAACAACACAACCACACCACAAAACCACAAUCCAGACCCACAAAACUCAGAACAACGCAUCAUGCAAUAACAACACAACUAAACGCCCCAGAAAUACAAAACUUGGCAACACAAUGCAAAAGCCUUGCCUCCCAGUUGUAACAACACAACCACACCAGAAAAGCGCACAGGACCCACAAAACUCACAACAACGCAUCAUGACUAUAACAACACAACUAAACGCGCCAGAAAUACAAAACUCACAACAAUGCAUCGUGACUAUAACAACACAACUAAACGCCCCAGAAAUACAAAACUUGGCACACAACUAAAUGCCCCAGAAAUACAAAACUUGGCAACACAACACAAAAGCCUUGCCUCUCAGUUGUAACAACACAACCACGCCACAAAACAACAAUCCAGACCCACAAAACUCACAACAACGCAUUGUGACUAUAACAAAUACAAAAUCUGACAACACAACUCAUCCACCUCCCCAAUCCCUACAUUCACACUUGGCCUCCAAAAAAAACAAUUACAAUAAUAACAAUGACAACAACAACAACAAUAAUAAUAAACACCUACACAGGCAAAACAACAAAAAGACUAUUGUACCACAAUAAAAAUAUAAACCGCACUCAGCAGAAUCAGACAUCACGAUUAACAACAAACCAAAGACAACAGGGAUCUCAAGCAAUUAUCAAUCAACACAAAAACUGAAGAAGGUAACAGACUUCAAAUACUACUACUAAUGUGAGUAUAAAGAAGAUGGAGCUCACAGCAUAAAUUCAACCUAAUGUAGACUGACCAACACCACCAGACUAAGCCACAGCAACGCGUGGCCGGGCACAGCUAGUUAAUUAAUAUAUUUGUACUCUGCUGUAUAUCGAGAAUGCUCAGGGCAACUUGUAAAGCAGUGGUUCCCAACCUUUCCUUUGAUCAGGCACUUUGACCAGGGACCACUCUCCAACAUUAGUUCCAAAAGGGUUACAAAUCAGAUUUUGGUCAACCUUAGAUUCAGUUUGGUUAUCUGGUGUGCUGAUUCAGAAAACUGCAUUGGAUAGACCACAUCAGCUCUAGUUUUUGAUGCCAUCCAAUAGUCGCCAUUUGCUCACCCACAGAAAACUAUAUUUAAUAAUCUAUAGCUGAUGUGGUCUAUCUAAUGCAAUUUUCUGAGUCAGCACCCCAAAUAACACAAGGAACAGGCCUAAAAAUGAAGACACUAACACACCCCCACUUCCAUGCACCACAUGGAACGUCUCCGCUCAGGGGGAGGGAGGAGGAGGAGAACCAGCAGCAGUCAGGAGACUUGUUGUUGUGCCUUUCAGGGGUAGUCAGGGUCUCCCAACAUCCCCGUUGACUCAGCACUAUAAGAGGGUUUUGUGAGACCAGUCGCUGUUGUCGCAAUUGUAUAAUAAUGGUGAGUCUGCGGACCAUAUUUUAGUUCUUGGGGACCACAGGUUGGGAACCACUGUUGUAAAGGCAUUAAAACAGGUAAAACAAGCUAAAAGGAGAAAGGUAUGUUUCAAUAAGCCAAAAUGUAUAAACAAUAUUAUAAUAGAAUUGAGGCAGGGGGAAAAUCUUUUAUAUAAUCCCACUGUUGCCACCAAUAUAACAGAAUGAGCAAAACGGGGAGGCUAAUUAUAACAGAUUUUCUUUUAAAAUGGUAGCUGCCACCAACCUAAAAUGUCUUUAGGAUUUUUGCUGUUAAAUGUGUCUGAGAUAAAUUUCUCCCAUUCACUGCCCACACUGUUUCUACCCCUGUCUCCCAAACUGAUGUUCACUAUGAGGCUUUUCAGUGAUAUUUUAUUGUUGUAAUGCUGAAACUUUUAUUAAGGCUUCUUGAUGGAAAAUAUACACUGUGGAGGCUCUUGAAAGUUGAAAAUAGAAUAAAAAUUUAUUUUCUUAAAAACAGGUAAAUGAUUACUUCAGAGAGGUUCAUAAGCGUAAACGGUUACUGCGUUCUUCAGCUUAACUUAGUUGUAUGUUCCAGAUUACUUCACUUAGUUUCAAACAGUUCCAACCAACCAAUCUAUCUAUUGGUCACAAAAACCCUCGCUCUAUUUGCUGAGAAUAGACAUGAGUUCCCCUGGGUUGUUAAUUAACUCUAACCUAGAGUCCUUCUAUUAACCAGUCCAGUAGUGAGAGUCAAUCCCUUGAGUUAUCUUCCCUUCAAGAGAUCCAAACUGCUUGACCUAGCUUGUCAGUUUCACAGCUUUUCAGUUCUCUCUCUCUCACACACACACACGCUCCGAACUCCAAAACUGAACUGCUCUCUUCAAACCCUAAAACAGAACUCUCCUGGAGCUCUUUUUUUCUUCUGCUCCCUAAGACUUGGCUCCUCCCCUCUGCUCCGGUUGGCCAAUCCUAGGAGUCUCUCUCUAAGCUCCUCCUCCUUUCUAACCACACUCAAGAUGGCUGCCUGGCAUUCCUCUACGAAAUGGAUGUCUGCCUCACUCACUGUUACCAAGGCUUCAUUCCAGGCCUAAUAGGUAAGGUUCACUACAAAUAUCAUGAGUUAAAAACAGAUUUAUUUAUUUUAUUUUUAUAAUAACAUAUUUGGGUAGAAUUAAUAAAGCACAAAGGUUUUGGUGGACAACCAAGUUUUAACUUGGAAUGCAAAUGACUUAGAAUGCAAAGGGAGACCAUACCACAGUUGGGAUGCCAUUCCUGAUAA
ensembl:lncRNA